rnacentral:rRNA from 1 species
CGGAUUGCAGGCUGCAACCCGCCUGCAUGAAGUUGGAAUCACUAGUAAUCGCGGAUCAGCAUGCCGCGGUGAAUGCGUUCUCGGGCCUUGUACACACCGCCCGUCACACCAUGAGAGUCGGGAACACCCGAAGUCCGUAGCCUAACCGCAAGGGGGGCGCGGCCGAAGGUGGGCUCGAUAAUUGGGGUGAAGUCGUAACAAGGUAGC